rnacentral:rRNA from 1 species
UACGAAGGGGGCUAGCGUUGUUCGGAGUUACUGGGCGUAAAGGGCGCGUAGGCGGCUCUUCAAGUCGGGCGUGAAAUCCCUGGGCUCAACCCGGGAAUGGCGCCCGAGACUGACGGGCUCGAGUGCGGGAGAGGAUGGUGGAAUUCCCAGUGUAGAGGUGAAAUUCGUAGAUAUUGGGAAGAACACCGGUGGCGAAGGCGGCCAUCUGGUCCGCAACUGACGCUGAGGCGCGAAAGCGUGGGGAGCAAACAGGAUUAGAAACCCC